GCCAGCAGCCGCGGUAAUACGUAGGAGGCUAACGUUAUCCGGAUUUACUGGGCGUAAAGCGCGUGCAGGCGGUUCGUUAAGUUGGACGUGAAAGCUCCCGGCUCAACUGGGAGAGGUCGUUCAAUACUGGCGGACUUGAGGAUGGUAGAGGGAGGUGGAAUUCCGGGUGUAGUGGUGAAAUGCGCAGAUAUCCGGAGGAACACCAGUGGCGAAAGCGGCCUCCUGGACCAUUCCUGACGCUCAGACGCGAAAGCUAGGGUAGCAAACGGGAUUAGAGACCCCGGUAGUCCUAGCUGUAAACGAUGUGAACUUGGCGUCGGUGGGAUUAAAUCCAUCGGUGUCGAAGCUAACGCGAUAAGUUCACCGCCUGAGGACUACGGCCGCCAGGUUAAAACUCCAAGGAAUUGACGGGGACC
rnacentral:rRNA from 1 species